rnacentral:lncRNA from 1 species
CAAGCUCGAUCUCGCUCUUCGGGACAACGGUCUGGGACCCUACUCCAUCGAACGUCGUCGGGAGAAGGGGCCGCCUCGCUGUGCCCCAGCUGGGCAAGAGAGGGCACCCGACGCCGACAAAAUGACCCCGGGCCAAGAGCAGACAGCGAAACCCAGACCGCGAGAACUCCACGCAGAAGGCGAGCCGGCAGCCAGGGAGCUCGAUCUCUUCCGCCAACUGCCCCUGGGAACAAGAUGGCGGGCCCGGCGGAUA